CUUGCCUGCUGGUUUUGAACACCGGUACAGUCACGUCGCUCGAUACGAAUACACCGGACGUCUUAUCCUAUAGGCCACGAUGUCCUGGAUUGAUUUGAUUGGACGUGUGUACAAAAUUUGAAAUCAAGGAUGAUGAAUAAGCAAAAACAUUGUAAUUUUUGUAUAUAAAGGCAAAUAUAAUAGAACCUUGUGUAAAGAGUAGGAUUGUUUUGAAUAUACCCUAAAUAAAUAUUUAAUCUCAGACACACUAUUUAUGCAAGAUUGCUUCAGAAAAAUGAUUGGUUUGUAAUAUAUUUAAAAGUAAUUUGCGCCUGCCAUCAUUAUCUGAGCAAAGAUAUAAUUGAAAAAUAAUAAAUAUGUUCAUAAAUUAUUAACUUGCUAUUAUGUUUAUAAUAAAUAGAGACGCUUUGUUCUAA